rnacentral:piRNA from 1 species
UGGACCUUGGAGGCCAACAGGACAGGCACAA